GAAAUGGCAUCUGAUAUGGAGCUACUUUUAUUUCUAUUCUACACAGAGAAUGUGCAUAAUAAAGACUAAAGGUUCCUCAAGGAACCCAAAGAAGCUGUCUAGUACCUCCUACGAGGCAGAAGCAGUAAGGACAUUCCUGAGGAGUCACCUGCAACCACAGGAUGGGUCAGCCUGGUGCUUUCUGCUCCGCAGACCCUGGAGCCUCAUCCGGGCAUUUUCCAGCCUGCUUUCAAGUCUUUGGAAGAGUUCCGCAUAGCUGUGUAUGCUAGUUGACACAUCUCGCAAUGGACUGAACACAUUUUGGAGACACAAAUUACUUUUCAGAUAUUUGUGAGCAAAGAUUUAGAAGUCAUG